CGCUGGCGGCGUGCCUAACACAUGCAAGUCGAGCGGAGCCAUCUAAACGAUCCCGUUCGGGGUGAAGUUUGGGGAAGCUUAGCGGCGGACGGGUGAGUAACGCGUGAGUAACCUGCCUGUAAGAGGGGGAUAACACAGAGAAAUUUGUGCUAAUACCGCAUAUUGAGUAAAAUUCGCAUUGUUUUUUACUUGAAAGAUUUAUCGCUUACAGAUGGACUCGCGUCUGAUUAGCUAGUUGGUGAGGUAAUGGCUCACCAAGGCGACGAUCAGUAGCCGAACUGAGAGGUUGAUCGGCCACAUUGGGACUGAGACACGGCCCAGACUCCUACGGGAGGCAGCAGGUGGGGGAUAUUGCGCAAUGGGGGCAACCCUGACGCAGCAACGCCGCGUGAGUGAAGAAGUAUUUCGGUAUGUAAAGCUCUAUCAGCAGGGAAGAAAAUGACGGUACCUGACUAAGAAGCCCCGGCUAACUACGUG
rnacentral:rRNA from 1 species